rnacentral:rRNA from 1 species
ACGAACGCUGGCGGCGUGCUUAACACAUGCAAGUCAAGGGGGCCCGCAAGGGCAACCGGCGAACGGGUGCGUAACACGUGAGCAAGCUUCCGAUUUGUGGGGGAUAGCCGGCCCAACGGCCGGGUACUACCGCAUACCUUCCCUGGACGGCAUCGUCUGGUGAGGAAACCUCCGGGGCAAAUCGAGGCGCUCGCGGCCUAUCAGCUAGUUGGCGAGGUAACGGCUCACCACGGCUAUGACGGGUAGCUGGUCUGAGAGGAUGGCCAGCCACAUGGGGACGGCGACACGGCCCAGACUCCGACGGGAGGCAGCAGUGGGGAAUAUUGCGCAAUGGACGAAAGGCUGACGCAGCGACGCCGCGUGUGGGAUGAAGCCUUUCGGGGCGUAAACCACUGUUGCCCGGGACGAACAUCCUCUUUCGAGGGGACUGACGGUACCGGGUGAGGAAGCACCGGCUAACUCUGU